rnacentral:tRNA from 1 species
GGUGGGGUGGCAGAGUGGUCGAAUGCGGCGGUCUUGAAAACCGUUGAGGGCGCAAGCUUUCCGUGAGUUCGAAUCUCACCCCCACCG